UGACUAGAUCUACACUCGUCA
rnacentral:miRNA from 1 species